GACGAACGCUGGCGGCGUGCCUAAUACAUGCAAGUAGAACGCUGAAGAGAGGAGCUUACUCUUCUUGGAUGAGUUGCGAACGGGUGAGUGACGCGUAGGUAACCUGCCUUGUAGCGGGGGAUAACUAUUGGAAACGAUAGCUAAUACCGCAUAACAAUGGAUGACACAUGUCAUUUAUUUGAAAGGGGCAAUUGCUCCACUACAAGAUGGACCUGCGUUGUAUUAGCUAGUAGGUGAGGUAAUGGCUCACCUAGGCGACGAUACAUAGCCGACCUGAGAGGGUGAUCGGCCACACUGGGACUGAGACACGGCCCAGACUCCUACGGGAGGCAGCAGUAGGGAAUCUUCGGCAAUGGGGGCAACCCUGACCGAGCAACGCCGCGUGAGUGAAGAAGGUUUUCGGAUCGUAAAGCUCUGUUGUAAGUCAAGAACGGGUGUGAGAGUGGAAAGUUCACACUGUGACGGUAGCUUACCAGAAAGGGACGGCUAACUACGUG
rnacentral:rRNA from 1 species